rnacentral:rRNA from 1 species
ACGAACGCUGGCGGCGUGCUUAACACAUGCAAGUCGAACGCAGAGCGAUGGAAGCUUGCUUCUAUCAAUCUUAGUGGCGAACGGGUGAGUAACGCGUAAUCAACCUGCCCUUCAGAGGGGGACAACAGUUGGAAACGACUGCUAAUACCGCAUACGAUCUAAUCUCGGCAUCGAGGAUAGAUGAAAGGUGGCCUCUACAUGUAAGCUAUCACUGAAGGAGGGGAUUGCGUCUGAUUAGCUAGUUGGAGGGGUAACGGCCCACCAAGGCGAUGAUCAGUAGCCGGUCUGAGAGGAUGAACGGCCACAUUGGGACUGAGACACGGCCCAGACUCCUACGGGAGGCAGCAGUGGGGAAUCUUCCGCAAUGGACGAAAGUCUGACGGAGCAACGCCGCGUGAGUGAUGACGGCCUUCGGGUUGUAAAGCUCUGUUAAUCGGGACGAAAGGCCUUCUUGCGAACAGUUAGAAGGAUUGACGGUACCGGAAUAGAAAGCCACGGCUAACUACGUG